CCUACGGGGUGCAGCAGUGGGGAAUAUUGGACAAUGGGCGAAAGCCUGAUCCAGCCAUGCCGCGUGUGUGAAGAAGGCCUUCGGGUUGUAAAGCACUUUCAGUGGGGAAGAAAGCCUUGGGGCUAAUACCCUCGAGGAAGGACAUCACCCACAGAAGAAGCACCGGCUAACUCCGUGCCAGCAGCCGCGGUAAUACGGAGGGUGCGAGCGUUAAUCGGAAUUACUGGGCGUAAAGCGCGCGUAGGUGGUCUGAUAAGCCGGUUGUGAAAGCCCCGGGCUCAACCUGGGAACGGCAUCCGGAACUGUCAGGCUAGAGUGCAGGAGAGGAAGGUAGAAUUCCCGGUGUAGCGGUGAAAUGCGUAGAGAUCGGGAGGAAUACCAGUGGCGAAGGCGGCCUUCUGGACUGACACUGACGCUGAGGUGCGAAAGCGUGGGUAGCAAACAGGAUUAGAUACCCGUGUAGUC
rnacentral:rRNA from 1 species